UCCUACGGGAGGCAGCAGUGGGGAAUUUUGGACAAUGGGCGCAAGCCUGAUCCAGCCAUGCCGCGUGCGGGAAGAAGGCCUUCGGGUUGUAAACCGCUUUCGGACAGAAAGAAAUCGCAUGGACUAAUACUCUGUGUGGAUGACGG
rnacentral:rRNA from 1 species